CCUGUUGCCACAAACCCGUAGAUCCGAACUUGUGUUGAUCGUCCACACAAGCUUGUGUCUAUAGGUAUGUGUCUGGUAGG
ensembl:miRNA Mir100 microRNA mir-100